GCACUUGGUUCUGUGCUUCUCUUGGGUGUUUUUUUGGGUGUUUCCCCCCUGCUGUCCUGGGUAGGGUUGUCUGUCUUUCUUACUGACUUCCUCACCUUGUGAGCUUUCAGACCGUGGUUUGCAGGCAAGACGUCUGGGUGUGCCGAGACCCUCCAGUUAUGUUUUCUAAAGGAUAACAAAGAUGCUGCUGAAACGUGAGUUUGAGCAUGCGGGAAUGGGAGGUCCAGACAGAAGAAGGUAUGAUGCCUAGAGAUAAGGCUGUUGUCCAGAACAACCACCCUGAGUCAGGUCAGACAGCUUUCUAGCACAGUAUCCCACCUCGGGCAGCAGACAGCAGUGGGAAGAAGAUGAGGAUGCGUAUACAGUGGACCUCCUUUGGUGAGGGUACCCUGAGACUGUGGCCAGUUAUGUGGCCAACAAGUUGCUGUACAAGUGUCCAGAUCCUUAUAUUUUAAUAUGCAAAGUCAUGCUGUUAUUAUAGCGCUCCUUAUACCACUGGGUGUAAAAUUAGUAUUUGAUCGUGGUGGUGUUUUGGGUGUGUUACAUCAGCUUUGCUCCCAAUCUUGCAGAAACUGUAAGGAGGUGAAGUGUCUUGCUGGGAUGGUAGAGGUAGUAUAAUACCUGGAAUUGGGAGUUUGUACCACAGCAAACUAUUCUUUGCAGGAUGCUCAUUGAUGAAGUAGUUAAAAUCAGCACUUCUGGUGGCUGUGAAUUCUGUGUUCAGGGGAAGUGGGGCUGUCUGCCUUUCACACUGCUGUGCUUUAGUCUCUCUGCAGACUUUGGAAAACAGCAUGUAUGUUUGGCUUCAGUAUGUGGCUUUCCAUCUUUUCUUUGUAAAUGAUGCAAACCAGCCCCACAGUAGGUUGGAGUGGCUGCACAGCUCUGCAGCCAAGGGCUGAUCAUGUGGCAGAUCCCGUGGGUUGGGAGUGUGGUGGGCUGCAGAGGCAGGGAUGUUUGUAAUUGCAGCAGUGACCAGGGCUAGGGCUGUAAAGCAGCAGCAGAGCUUGUGUUAGCAGUUCCCUAGCAGAGCACUUUCUGUUCACGUCCAGUUCCUCAGGAAAGGCUAAAUAGCACCAAUAACUGUAAAUGUAAGUGAUGUUUGCAGAAUACAGUGCUGAGUUGCUAGCAGAAGUAUUCUUGCAGCAGUAUUACUGAAUUUUAUGCGCUCUGUCUUUGUCCCUCUGUUUUGGUUCAGUCAUAUCAUCACACUGUGCUCAUUCAUCCAGGAACUUAAAUUAAUUCUGAAGAGGUGGCUGUGUGUAUUUGAACUACUCUGUUACAGGAAGUGUGUGUGCACACAUAUGUAUAUAUGUGAUGGAUAUGGAUAUUUGAUAAAUAAGAUUUAUGUGGCUUCAGCUAGUGCAUACUGUAGUCAGUGUGGCUUUUCUUAAGUGGUUUACAAACAGAAAGGAACAAAUACAGGUAUUUCCAUUUUUCUUCCAUAGGUAGCAGUAAAAUACAAUAUGGUGGUUAUCUGAGAACUUUGCCAGUAGCUACUGGUAAGUUUGUGAAUGAUUUGUUUGUAAAGGAACCAAUAUGUUUUGUCUGAAAGCAGUAAUGCAGUACUAAAGAAGCAGGGCACAGUGCUUGGUUUUCCUGGUAUGCAUGUUUUGUGUGGAUGGCCAUUCCUCUAACACUUGUGUUAUGAUGUGUUUUCCAGGUGACAGUGUUUAAGUGCUGGGUGGUUAUUAAAGGUAGCAUUGUAUUUUUGAUUGUGUUGCUCAGACUUAUUUUUGUGGUCACUGGGUCUGAUGUUCUGAGGAAAUGUGUUUGGACAGCCUUAAGUGUAGAAAACCUGUAUAUGGGAGUGCAGAGAACAAAGAAAAUCAAGUGAGCUUAAUACUGGCAUUGAUAUCCAAGCAAAUUCUAUCUCAUUUCUGCUGAACCCUGAUCCUGGCGGCAAAUGGUCACAUGUGUAUGGCCCUUCACUUCUGUGACCUAACCCUUAUCUGUGCCUCAUUAAUUCAAAUCAAUAAUCAGACUAUAGACCUGAAGUAUGAAUUUUUCCCCUCCCUGUUUUUCUACAAACUCUUGUUUGCUGUAAAUGUUAAAAUUUGUUACUCUCUCCAUGCUGUGAAGCAGUGAAGAGCUGCAGAUCCCACGUGUGUCAGCUGAAUGACAUGAUGCUUCUGUCGUCUUGUGUCACUGGAGAAGCCUGCUGCCCCUCAGACUCUCUUCAGUUAUCUCUGCUAUCUUUGCUCCUAGCGACCCCCUGCAUUUUUGGCACCCUUCCACCGGCUCUCCAGCCUGUGUAUCCCACAAACUAGAUGAAGAUAUUACAAUUUGUAAUAAAUAAAUAAAAAAAGGUGUUAUUUCAGUUACACUGUAGUCACCUGUUUGCCUUCUUGUUUGUUGUGUGCAGCUUUCUCGAGAGGCAGAAGGCUGCUUUUCUAGUGCCCUUUUUUAGGUAUUUUAUGAAAGUACGGGGAGGUGCUGAAGACAAGAGGCUGCAGCGCUCUGCUGGUAUGUUUUCCUUUGACGUGACUGGAUUUUAUUGGAAAGGUUAGUGUGCCCAGGUGUGUCAAAUGCUAUGUGUGGCGACCCUUGAUGCCAUCCUGCCCCAGUAGCUGAAGUGCUCCAAGCCUUCCUGUGUCUCUUUGGAUUUAAGCAGCAGUAUCUUUCCUCUGACACAAAACUUGGCCAUCUCUGUCUGUGGUUCCAGUGGUUCCCCCUUUUUUCCUGAUGUUACUUUGUCUAGAAGCAUUUGCGCAGUCUUUUAUGAUUAUUCCAGUCUGGUCACUCUAGCAGAGAUGAUAUUUUUUUUUUAAUUGUUCUCCUGCAAGUUUUCAUCAAUAUAUUCCUUAAGAAUUGUUUUUCCCAAGUGAGUUUUGUGCGGUUGUCACUUAAUUGCCAUCUUCAUGUUAAACCAGUUAACUUCUUAGUGCUUUUCAAGGAGGAAAGAUGCUGCUUGUAUAGAGACAUUUUAUCAGUCAUUCAGCUUUUUCACAAAUUGCACCUUCCUACUGGGUAGUUGUUCUUGAGUAAAGUUCAUGAAGGAUCUGGGAAAUGGUUCCCAGUCACUUGUCUGUGCUUUCUUCCAUGGUAAGUACAGUUGAAUCACAGUUCCUUGUUUAUGUAAAAGCAGCUUGCUCUCUGUGGGGAUUUUUUUGUAGUGUGGGUUUUGUUUGUUGGGUUUUUUUUGUUACAGUUCACUUGAUGCAUAGUAAUAUUUUGCUCAGAUCUGUCAAAAAUGGGAUUGUGUAAUUACUUCCACAUAUCUGACUUUGUUUUGUUGGGUUUUUUUGGUGAAUGGGAUCUCAGUGGCUGUGUCUAAAUCCUGGUUUGUCUCAUGCGUUGUCAGCCAUUUUGGCAGCUUAGGCUAAGUGAGUGCCUCUGAAUUGCUCCCGAGUUACCAGUUUGGGGCACUAGGUGUUCAGUCUCUGCAUUGUCUUCCCAAUUUGUUCAGCCUUUGCAGCUGUUAGAAUUCUUUACUUGUGCUCAUCUUCUCCCCCUUUUCUCAAAGGCAUAUAAUAUGUUCAGUAAAAAUAGCAAGACUCUCUGCAAUGUGAAGAGUUACUUGUUUUAUUGGUGUGUGUGUUUUUAAUCUUUUUUUUUUUUAAGGAUUUACUGGUUUGUGAGGCCGUCGUGUGGAUGUGUAGCUGACAAUUCUGUACAUCAGUGUGUUACUGUUAAAGCCUAUCUUCUUUCACCAUGUUCAUCACUGACUUUGUUUUUCGAUUUAAACAGCUAUGGUUUACUCUCUCAAGCCUCUCGAGACUCCUGGCAUCCUCCUGCAGGCCUGUCUGUGUGAUCUAAAAUUUCUUUCCUUGAAUCCAACUUCCUUAUGAGUCUCUCUGGAUUUUGUGUAAUACAGCACAGCGUUUUUCUGCUGCAUCUGUUCUGUGUUGUGUCAUCCUACAGUCUUGUAGUCUCUGAGAAGUUUUCUCAAGUUCCCAUAUUUCUUAUGGAGAGCUCUGCUUGAGCGGGCUUGCUUCAGACUGAAGGCAGUUUACCCUUUAGUUAUGACUGCGUUUUGUGUUGGUCUCCUUGAACUCCUUAUUUCAUUGCGAUGGCAUACUUCUGACAUCAUAUAUGUGCCCCUGGGUGCACAUCAUACAUGUGCUCUCUUUGAUGGCUUAUGCCUGAAUUAAUGAUUAUUACUUUGUAAUUCCUAAAAAUCCUUUUACAUUUGGGAGCUGUAUGAAUUGCGACUUCUGCUUGUUUUGGUAUACCUAAACUUAACCAAACAUAUGAGUGGUUCUGAGUAACUCCUGGGACCAUGAGGAUUUUUUUUCAGUCACCUCUGGGGUGAAGAUGUCUGUGAAGACUGGGGUCUUCUCAGUGUUGUCACAAUCUUUUCUUGUCCUUUCUUCUCAACUGACCCCUGCCAGUUCCUUUUGGCAUACCAGUGAGUAUAAUCAUGGGCUGCACUGUCAGCCAGUGUGAUGCUGCGCUAUAGGAUGACUUCUAACAUCAGCACAAGUCCUAGGUUCCCAUAUGUGCUGUUCCCUCUAGAUAUCCUUUAUUCCUCUGGUAUCCCUAUGUCUAUUUCCAGCCUGUUUUCACUUACACAGAGGAUCAGUGGUCUACUUACGACAGACUAAUUUUUUAGUAUGACUUGCUUUUAUGCUAUAAACGACAUGUAGUUGCUGAACCAGGAAUCUAGUUCUCUGCAGAUGCAGUCACAGGUCAUCACAGCGAGUCUGUAGGUUUUUUCUGGGAUGCAGUAUAUAUAUAUGUGUUUCUUUUUGGUAAAAACAACAUUGUGAUCUUUUCAUUAAAAAUAGCGAAGGUGGCAUUAUUUCUUCUCCAGAUCUCCAGAAUCUACUACUGUAGUAUGUACAAGAGGCCUGGUAUACCCAAGUAGGUCUUCUGCUGCAGGUGAAGAGCCCUUCCUGCCAAAGCCAAUUUCCUUUGAAAGGCACCAUGAUGCCUUCUUGGGAGGCUACUUUAUUCUUCCAGGCCUGAAGGGCAGGUCAGAUUCUUGUGGUAGUUCUUCCAGGAUGUGAAAUUAGUAAAUAGGCUUCUACAGCAAUUCCCCUACGAAACCCUGGGUUUUGGAAACUCAGUGGGUAGCUGUACUGUAAGUGUCAGGUUGUGGGUGUUACAGUAGUGGACAGCUUCUGGCAUCAAGAGUGAAUGAGCGUAAGCCAGGGAGAUUCACUAAGGCUGUAAUGUGAGAGCACUAUGUUAAUUCAGCUGUGACUGAAUCAGUACCACAAGAAGAUUAAAAGAAAGUACUUCUGGUGUAUUAAAAGGGUAACAGGAGACCUAGGAGACUCUCAAGUCAUUAGCCUGAGGUGGAGUCUGUGCAAUUUUAAUGGUAAGAGUUAAUUUGCAAUUCAGUGCAAGAAGAUUUAGCAGCUAAAUAUAUAUACUAAUGAAAAUAGAUCUGCCCUGUGGAAGGAAGGUCUUAGUGUAAAAUUUGACAGGUUUGUCAAGGUUACAGCCUGCUUGAUGAAAUCAGUGGUAAAAUUGUUUCUCCAAAGCACUUGACUUUUUACUGUAGUUUAUUGAAAGGACUUGCAUUGCUAAUGGAGAGCAUGUUAUCUGUCUGAGUUGAAAACUGGCUUAGUCAAGAGGGAAACAACUGGGGAAUUAUCUUGGGAUUGAUGCUUGUGCUCAGUUUUGUGUAAUUGUGUAUAUCAACCAUCCCAACAAUGAGGCAAUUACUGCUGGUAAAACAGGGAGGAGGGGAGGGUUGAUAAGGACUGAUGAAUAGGGCAAUUUGUGAAAUAGUGAAAAUGUCACCAGAGCACAGGUUAAAUGUAGCUGGUCAUAAGUCAGGAUAGCGGGGGAGAGUGUAGAGGUUGUAACUGUGGGGCAGGAACUGUGUGUUAAAGGGUGAAGUUCUUUUAGGUGAUCACCUCUGCAAGCUGUCAGUGUGUCCUUUCGCAUAGGACUGGCGUGAGUAUUGCCUAUCCAGGAGUAAGGCUGCAACCUGGGCUUUGCACUUUUACCUUGCUGGCAUGUGUGUCUCUCAAACCAGUAAGUGUUGGUAAAAACAGUGCAAUGCUGAGCAUCAGAAAUCUGCCUCGUCCUUAUUGAAGGCAUUUUAAACUUGCAAGCAGAAUCUCCUAAUUAUAGAGUUUAAGUGCCUUGUUAAUUUAAAGUAUGAAUAUUGAACUGAGCUAAUGGGAAGGAUGCCUGUGUUUACUUUCCAAAUCAAAGUGUUUAUUUAACCCAGAUUUGUCAGUGUUGUAACUCUUUAGUAGUAGAGUAACAAAAAAGAUUAUUAGACUGGAAAAUUAACUUUUAAAACACAAACACUUGAAAAUAUUUGAGAAGUCCCACAGCUGCCCCCUCAUUGUUCAAAACAAUCUAUCAAACCACAGAAAGAGGAUUUUAGAUGCUCACAAGAGCACCAUGAAAACCCCAGGCAUUGAAGUUGUCUUCUGAAUCUAGCAAAUUGCUGUAGCAAAACCAUCCGGUGGUGUAGGAUUGAGUAGUGUAAGUAGUUCAGUCUUUUUGGAGCUUAUUUUAAAAAUACAAAUAAAAAUCUCACCCCCAUUUAGACUGGCCAGUUUCAUGGUGGUUUUUUUUUUUUUUUUUUGGUAACUGCCUUGUCUAAAUGGAUGCUGAAUGGGUUGAAGCACAGAUAACAGGAUACAGAAUUCCUCUUUUAAAGUCUCUUAAAGCCCAGAGUUUUUCUUUCAUAUAGUGCUUGGGAAGAGAUAACGGUGUUCUUUGAUUACCUCCUUCUUGUGUUUUAGUAGGGGUGAUGUGUGAAUAGCCUCCAAAGAACCUCAGUCUCCAAAAACAACCGGUGGGUAGGCCAAAAUAUGGGCCCUGCCUUUCACUUACAGUAUGCUUCUUGUACAUCAGGCACAGGAUGAAGAAGGGUAGCUGAGAUUUCAAAUACUUUCCUGUAGUGUCUGUUCUGAACAUGAGUGGUUACACUAAAAUCAAAUUUGUACCUACUUAAAAUGUUGGUUAGUUCCUCUUGCAAAAGUGUUGAAUAAUAUGUGAAAUGAGGUUGUGUGGAGGCUUGCCUCUCUUUUUACUAAAGGUAUGCAGUAUAAAGGACUUUGCGUAGCAUAACUGAAAAAAAAAAACCUUCUUGGAAGAGUACUUUUCAGAACAGUAAAUGUAUUUACCCUGUCUAAAAAAGAAGCUGAAUUGCCUUCUCCUGGCAGUAAUACUUCCCUGGGGGUGACUUUUCUGAGAUACAAGCGUACACAAAAUAAGGGUGAUAUAACUGGAGCUUUGGAGUCAGGGCUUCCAGGUUGCAGCAUCCUUGCUUGUGGAGGAAGAUGUGUGCAUGGUGUUUAAGGAUUGAGUAGAUUUUUUUUUUUUUUUUCCAGACUUCCUUGGCAUCCCCAGGAAGGGAAGCCUGGCCCUGUUUUCUCCCACAAAGCACUCCUAUCUCACUUCUUGAUUGGUUUCAGAGCUGCUUUAGGAAGCAGGAAUAAAGCUGACAAUGCCAGUUUUAUACUGCUGAAUAUGGAUACAAUCAUUGGAAAUGCCUCAUUCUCUUGUCCUUGCAAAUCCAGAAGAAUGUAGUGAAUAGUGUUUUCUUUCAGUUUCCGAUAGCUUUGUGCUGUCUCUAGUUUUAAACUUUGUGGCAGGCUGAUUUACAGUGUUGCAAAAUGUUCUGUUUCUGUGCGGUUAACUAGAAACUCCUCACACCUGCUUUUCACCUUCCUUGAGUACCUGUUCCCUGGCUUGGCUUUUCAGAGUUUUGUAGUAUUAGCAAAAGCUCUGGUUUUAGCUGUCAUUGAUUUUUCAAGCAUUUGUCCUUUUGGAGUUUUUCUUCAACAAGAUGAUAGCUAAAGCUGAGAGCUCUGAAUAAAGCACAGAUGGAAGCAGAAUCAGAUUAAUUUUCCUGGCUGUAUGCAAAAUUAACACCCUGUUCAAGGCUUCCAAGGAGAAAUGGCUUCUGAUCUCUACGAGCAAAAGCAGAGCUGUCUCAGUUGGACAAAUACAAGAUGACCAUCUUCAUGCAUUUGAAAGGAAAAAGGGCUACAAUGCACAAAUGAGACUUUGUCAGGUGGUUUAAGAGAGAGACAGAGCCAAAGAGCCUGCCAGGAGUGGCGGUUCUCAAGCUGUUUGGCUGGUGGUGCUCUCCCAAAAAUUGUUGCGUGAAAAGAGGAAGGUUCACAAAGUUGUGCAGCUUGGAAGUGUGGACCUGGUUCAUACAUGUGUAUCCGUAGGAACAAAGUCUGAAUCUUUGGAUUCCUGUUAUUGCUGCAAGGUUUACGUAUGCAUGCGAGUUUGGUGUAAUUACAGCAUGUUAACAAGAUUUAAGCGGUGGUAGGGGAACGGGUUUGGCCGUACUGUGUGCUUUUCCAAUCAUGGUAUGCCUUCAGCAGGCAAGUGGCUUUAUGUUAAACAGCAGGAACUGUGGUGGAGUAUUAAAUGCCUAAACUGGUUCUGAUCUUGAACCUUUGCUGGUGCACCCCAGUAUUCCUGCUUGUGUCAUAGAGAGAAAUGUGCUGUACUGCUUAAAUAAAAAUCCAACCCAGCUGGU